GCUUGGAGUGACUUCAGCUGCUGAGA
rnacentral:piRNA from 1 species